rnacentral:sRNA from 1 species
CAGUACAGCCCAGUUAACCUGGAAGCCUGACCGUAUAAACAAGGUCAAAGGAAAUGGCAACAGCUCCUCGGGUGAAAGCGCGAUUUUCAAGAGUUGGAGAGAGCAAAGAGGCUCAGGCUCAGGCUCAGGCUCAGGCUCAGGCAGCAUCUGCCUCCUGAUUCCAUCUCUUCUUCAGAAUCUAUGUGGAGAAUGGAAAAUAUGCAAAGACUGUGCAGUUGUUAAACCACACUGAACUGUACAACCUAAAAUUACCUUUUAUUUUGUUUAUUCACUUUCUGAUUCUUCAAAACAAAUGAAUAUCCCGUGGAUCAACUUGUCUUUGAAACUUGUUGGUGGCAUCUAAAACCUUGACCCAUCUGAUAUACGAUCGAUCGUGCAUUUACAGAUUUACCAGC